rnacentral:tRNA from 1 species
UAGAGAUUAGUCUAAGCAAGACAACUAGUUUCGACCUAGUAAACCUCGACCCUACGAGAUCUCUAA